GACGAACGCUGGCGGCACGCCUAACACAUGCAAGUCGAACGGACUUAAACGGAGCUUGCUCUUUUUAAGUUAGUGGCGGACGGGUGAGUAACACGUGAGCAACCUGCCUUUCUGAGGGGGAUAACGUUUGGAAACGAACGCUAAUACCGCAUAACAUAUAUUUAUCGCAUGAUAGAUAUAUCAAAGGAGCAAUCCGCAGAAAGAUGGGCUCGCGUCUGAUUAGCUAGUUGGUGAGGUAAGGGCUCACCAAGGCGAAGAUGGUUAGGGGUUUUGAGAGAGAGACCCCCCACAUUGGAACUGAGAGACGGUCCAGACUCCUACGGGAGGCAGCAGUAGGGAAUAUUGGGCAAUGGGCGAAAGCCUGACCCAGCCAUGCCGCGUGAAGGAAGACGGCCUUAUGGGUUGUAAACUUCUUUACUACGCGAAUAGAGGUUAGUACGAGAUACUAAUAGGAAGGUAGUGUAGUAAAAAGCACCGGCUAACUCCGUG
rnacentral:rRNA from 1 species